rnacentral:rRNA from 1 species
GACGAACGCUGGCGGCGUGCUUAACACAUGCAAGUCGAACGGUAAGGCCCCAGCUUUCUUGGGUACACGAGUGGCGAACGGGUGAGUAACACGUGGGUGACCUGCCCUGCACUUCGGGAUAAGCCUGGGAAACUGGGUCUAAUACCGGAUAGGACCGCACCGUGAGGGUGUGUUGGAAAGUUUUUCGGUGUGGGAUGGUCCCGCGGCCUAUCAGCUCGUUGGUGGGGUAAUGGCCUACCAAGGCGGCGACGGGUAGCCGGCCUGAGAGGGUGGACGGCCACAUUGGGACUAAGACACGGCCCAGAAUCCUACGGGAGGCAGCAGUGGGGAAUAUUGCACAAUGGGCGGAAGCCUGAUGCAGAGACGCCGCGUGGGGGAUGACGGCCUUCGGGUUGUAAACACCUUUCACCAUCGACGAAGGUUUUCUGACGGUAGAUGGAGAAGAAGCACCGGCUAACUACGUG